AAUGAACGCUGGCGGCGUGCCUAACACAUGCAAGUCGAACGCGAAAGUUCCUUCGGGAGCGAGUAGAGUGGCGGACGGGUGAGUAACGCGUGAGAAUUUUCCUCUUAGUGAAGGAUACCCCCGAGAAAUCGGGGCUAAUACUGCAUAAGUCCCUGCGGGGAGAAAGAUGGCCUCUUGCUAUCGCUGAGAGAUAAGCUUGCGUACUAUUAGCUAGUUGGUGGGGUAAUGGCCUACCAAGGCGAUGAUGGUUAGCCGGCCUGAGAGGGUGUACGGCCACAUUGGGACUGAGAUACGGCCCAGACUCCUACGGGAGGCAGCAGUGGGGAAUAUUGCACAAUGGGCGAAAGCCUGAUGCAGCGACGCCGCGUGGAGGAUGAAGGUUUUAGGAUUGUAAACUCCUGUUAAGUGGGAAGAAAUCUUCACGAGUAAUAUGCGUGAAGGAUGACGGUACCGCUAGAGAAAGCUCCGGCUAACUUCGUGCCAGCCGCCGCCGUAA
rnacentral:rRNA from 1 species